rnacentral:rRNA from 1 species
GCUAACGUCCGUAGUCAAGAGGAAAACAAUCCAGACCGCCAGCUAAGGCCCCAAAAUCAUAGUUAAGUGGGAAACGAUGUGGGAAGGCAUAGACAGCUAGGAGGUUGGCUUAGAAGCAGCCACCCUUUAAAGAAAGCGUAAUAGCUCACUAGUCGAGUCGGCCUGCGCGGAAGAUGUAACGGGGCUAAAACUAUGUGCCGAAGCUGCGGAUGUAUACUUUGUAUACGUGGUAGGGGAGCGUUCUGUAAGCCGAUGAAGGUGUGUUGAGAAGCAUGCUGGAGGUAUCAGAAGUGCGAAUGCUGACGUGAGUAACGACAAAACGGGUGAAAAACCCGUUCGCCGAAAGACCAAGGGUUCCAGUCCAACGUUAAUCGGGGCUGGGUGAGUCGACCCCUAAGGCGAGGCCGAAAGGCGUAGUCGAUGGGAAAAUGGUUAAUAUUCCAUUACUUCUGUGUAAUGCGAUGAGAGGACGGAGAAGGCUAAAUCAGCCUGGCGUUGGUUGUCCAGGUGAAAGGAUGUAGGCAUGUAUCUUAGGCAAAUCCGGGGUACUCUAUGCUGAGAUCUGAUAGCAAGCUGUACUUGUACAGCGAAGUGGUUGAUGCCAUGCUUCCAGGAAAAGUCUCUAAGCUUCAGUUACACAGGAAUCGUACCCGAAACCGACACAGGUGGUCAGGUCGAGUAGACCAAGGCGCUUGAGAGAACUCUGCUGAAGGAACUAGGCAAAAUGGUACCGUAACUUCGGGAGAAGGUACGCUGUUGUUGGUGAUGGAACUCGCUUCCUGAGCUGACGACAGCCGCAGAAACCAGGCCGCUGCAACUGUUUAUUAAAAACAUAGCACUCUGCAAACACGAAAGUGGACGUAUAGGGUGUGAUGCCUGCCCGGUGCUGGAAGGUUAAUUGAUGGGGUUAGCGUAAGCGAAGCUCUUGAUCGAAGCCCCAGUAAACGGCGGCCGUAACUAUAACGGUCCUAAGGUAGCGAAAUUCCUUGUCGGGUAAGUUCCGACCUGCACGAAUGGCAUAAUGAUGGCGGCGCUGUCUCCAGCAGAGGCUCAGUGAAAUCGAAAUCGCUGUGAAGAUGCAGUGUACCCGCGGCUAGACGGAAAGACCCCGUGAACCUUUACUGCAGCUUGACACUGAACUUUGACCUUACUUGUGUAGGAUAGGUGGGAGGCUUUGAAGCUGGAACGCUAGUUCCAGUGGAGCCGUCCUUGAAAUACCACCCUGGUAAUGUUGAGGUUCUAACUCUGUCCCGUGAUCCGGGACGAGGACCGUGUCUGGUGGGUAGUUUGACUGGGGCGGUCUCCUCCUAAAGAGUAACGGAGGAGUACGAAGGUGCGCUCAGCGUGGUCGGAAAUCACGCGUAGAGUAUAAAGGCAAAAGCGCGCUUAACUGCGAGACCCACAAGUCGAGCAGGUACGAAAGUAGGUCUUAGUGAUCCGGUGGUUCUGUAUGGAAGGGCCAUCGCUCAACGGAUAAAAGGUACUCUGGGGAUAACAGGCUGAUACCGCCCAAGAGUUCAUAUCGACGGCGGUGUUUGGCACCUCGAUGUCGGCUCAUCUCAUCCUGGGGCUGAAGCAGGUCCCAAGGGUAUGGCUGUUCGCCAUUUAAAGAGGUACGCGAGCUGGGUUUAGAACGUCGUGAGACAGUUCGGUCCCUAUCUACCGUGGGCGCUGGAAAUUUGAGAGGAUCUGCUCCUAGUACGAGAGGACCAGAGUGGACGAACCUCUGGUGUACCGGUUGUGACGCCAGUCGCAUCGCCGGGUAGCUAUGUUCGGAAGGGAUAACCGCUGAAAGCAUCUAAGCGGGAAGCCUACCUCAAGAUAAGAUUUCCCUAGGACUUUAUGUCCUCUAAAGAGCCGUUCGAGACUAGGACGUUGAUAGGUUGGAUGUGGAAGCAUAGUGAUAUGUGAAGCUGACCAAUACUAAUUGCUCGUGUGGCUUGACUAU